UCAUGGCUCAGGAUGAACGCUGGCGGCGUGCCUAAUACAUGCAAGUCGAGCGAAUGGAUUAAGAGCUUGCUCUUAUGAAGUAGCGGCGGACGGGUGAGUAACACGUGGGUAACCUGCCCAUAAGACUGGGAUAACUCCGGGAAACCGGGGCUAAUACCGGAUAACAUUUUGAACCGCAUGGUUCGAAAUUGAAAGGCGGCUUCGGCUGUCACUUAUGGAUGGACCCGCGUCGCAUUAGCUAGUUGGUGAGGUAACGGCUCACCAAGGCAACGAUGCGUAGCCGACCUGAGAGGGUGAUCGGCCACACUGGGACUGAGACACGGCCCAGACUCCUACGGGAGGCAGCAGUAGGGAAUCUUCCGCAAUGGACGAAAGUCUGACGGAGCAACGCCGCGUGAGUGAAUGAAGGCUUUCGGGUCGUAAAACUCUGUUGUUAGGGAAGAACAAGUGCUAGUUGAAUAAGCUGGCACCUUGACGGUACCUAACCAGAAAGCCACGGCUAACUACGUGCCAGCCGCUGC
rnacentral:rRNA from 1 species